UUGUGAGAACUGAACAUUUUUCAUCCAAUUGGUUCAGAAAAAGGUUCUUUUCUCGAUG
ensembl:miRNA oni-mir-10625-2 oni-mir-10625-1